AGAGCUAAUACAUGCUGAAAAUCCCGACUUCGGAAGGGAUGUGUUUAUUAGAUAAAAAACCAAUGCCUUCGGGGCUUUUUGGUGAUUCAUGAUAACUUUACGGAUCGCAUAGCCUUGCGCUGGCGACGGUUCAUUCAAAUUUCUGCCCUAUCAACUUUCGAUGGUAAGGUAUUGGCUUACCAUGGUUUCAACGGGUAACGGGGAAUUAGGGUUCGAUUCCGGAGAGGGAGCCUGAGAAACGGCUACCACAUCCAAGGAAGGCAGCAGGCGCGCAAAUUACCCAAUCCCGACACGGGGAGGUAGUGACAAUAAAUACUGAUACAGGGCUCUUUUGGGUCUUGUAAUUGGAAUGAGUACAAUUUAAACCUCUUAACGAGGAACAAUUGGAGGGCAAGUCUGGUGCCAGCAGCCGCGGUAAUUCCAGCUCCAAUAGCGUAUAUUAAAGUUGUUGCAGUUAAAAAGCUCGUAGUUGAAACUUGGGCCUGGCUGGCGGGUCCGCCUCACCGCGUGCACUCGUCCGGCCGGGCCUUCCUUCUGAAGAACCUCAUGCCCUUCACUGGGCGUGUUGGGGAAUCAGGACUUUUACUUUGAAAAAAUUAGAGUGUUCAAAGCAGGCCUUUGCUCGAAUACGUUAGCAUGGAAUAAUAAAAUAGGGCGUGCGUUUCUAUUUUGUUGGUUUCUAGAGACGCCGCAAUGAUUAACAGGAACAGUCGGGGGCAUCAGUAUUCAGUUGUCAGAGGUGAAAUUCUUGGAUUUACUGAAGACUAACUACUGCGAAAGCAUUUGCCAAGGAUGUUUUCAUUAAUCAGUGAACGAAAGUUAGGGGAUCGAAGACGAUCAGAUACCGUCGUAGUCUUAACCGUAAACUAUGCCGACUAGGGAUCGGGCGAUGUUCUUUUUCUGACUCGCUCGGCACCUUACGAGAAAUCAAAGUUUUUGGCUCUG
rnacentral:rRNA from 1 species